GAUGGCAGUGACAAUUUGCAGAUACUCAAGCUCAGCAGACCAAAUCAUAAGUUUUCUCUUAGGAGUUCAUUUGUAUGCCGAUUAUCCCGCUGAACCGAGCCAUC
rfam:Triticum aestivum genome assembly, contig: Triticum_aestivum_CS42_TGACv1_scaffold_528969_6DL